rnacentral:rRNA from 1 species
GACGAACGCUGGCGGCGUGCUUAACACAUGCAAGUCGAACGAGGUUAUGGAGGAGCUUGCUCCGAAGUAACCGAGUGGCGGACGGGUGAGUAACGCGUGAGGAACCUGUCUCACACAGGGGGAUAACGCACCGAAAGGUGUGCUAAUACCGCAUAAGACCACGGUACCGCAUGGUACAGGGGUCAAAGGAGCAAUCCGGUGUGAGGUGGCCUCGCGUCUGAUUAGGUAGUUGGUGAGGUAACGGCCCACCAAGCCGACGAUCAGUAGCCGACCUGAGAGGGUGAUCGGCCACAUUGGAACUGAGACACGGUCCAAACUCCUACGGGAGGCAGCAGUGGGGAAUAUUGGGGCAAUGGGGGGCAACCCUGACGCAGCAACGCCGCGUUGAGGAUGACGGUUUUCGGAUUGUAAACUCAUGUCGGGUGGGAAGAUAAUGACGGUACCACCGGAGAAAGUCACGGCUAACUACGUG